rnacentral:rRNA from 1 species
UACACACCGCCCGUCACACCAUGGGAGUUGGCUUUACUCGAAGCCGGUGUGCUAACCCGCAAGGGAGGCAGCCGUCCACGGUAAGGUCAGCGACUGGGGUG